UACAGAGGUCCCAAGCGUUGUUCGGAUUCAUUGGGCGUAAAGAGCGCGCAGGCGGUCGUUCAAGUCGCGUGUGAAAGCCCCCGGCUCAACUGGGGAGGGUCACGCGAUACUGGUCGACUCGAAGGCAGGAGAGGGUAGUGGAAUUCCGGGUGUAGCGGUGGAAUGCGCAGAUAUCGGGAGGAACACCAAUGGCGAAGGCAGCUCGCUGGGACGGUACUGACGCUGAGGCGCGAAAGCGUGGGGAGCAAACAGG
rnacentral:rRNA from 1 species